UUGUGCAGAGUUGGCUUUGACUAUGCGUGUCACUGAAAAGUGUGACGUGUACAGUUUUGGAGUAGUAGCUUUGGAAAUUAUGAUGGGAAAACACCCAAGAGAACUGUUGGAAUCUUUAUUAUCUUCUCAGACAAAAACUUUAUCAGAUAAUAUGUUAUUGAAAGAUGUACUAGACCAACGGUUGUUACCUCCUACCGGGAGAUUAUCAAUGGUUGUGGUGUUAGUAGUGAGCUUGGCAUUAUCAUGUACCAGAAGUAGACCAGAGUCACGACCUACCAUGCAUUUAGUGGCGCAAGAAUUGUCUACUAGGACUCGAGCUUCCAUGAUCUCUGAGCCAUUGAGAACCAUUACUAUUGAGAAAAUUGCUGCAAUUCACUAUGAGUAGGUGAUGCUGGGCACCACUAAUGCUUAAUAACAAUACUCAAAAAAAUAUGGUAAUGAUGGUGGUUCAAUGGUUCAAGCAAUUAAAACCUCUCAUGAGUUUGAGGUUGAAAGAAGCCAACAUUGAUCACUUAAUAAAUGGCGAAGACAGAGAAGCAUGCAACUGAGUAGGGAAAGAGUAGUGAAGCCAAUAUUUAAUUUAAUGUUAUUAUUAUUAUUAUGAAUGUUGUUUGACUGAGUAAUUAUGAAGAAAUUAAUUCAUAGCAAAUCCAAUAUUUUAUGUUGUAAUACUAUAUCAUGUUUCUUGUUUUGAAUGA